GAUGAACGCUGGCGGCGUGCCUAAUACAUGCAAGUCGAGCGAACGGACGAGAAGCUUGCUUUUCUGAUGUUAGCGGCGGACGGGUGAGUAACACGUGGAUAACCUACCUAUAAGACUGGGAUAACUUCGGGAAACCGGAGCUAAUACCGGAUAAUAUUUUGAACCGCAUGGUUCAAAAGUGAAAGACGGUCUUGCUGUCACUUAUAGAUGGAUCCGCGCUGCAUUAGCUAGUUGGUAAGGUAACGGCUUACCAAGGCAACGAUGCAUAGCCGACCUGAGAGGGUGAUCGCCCACCCGGGAACUGAGAAACGGUCCCGACUCCUACGGGAGGAAGCAGUAGGGAAUCUUCCGCAAUGGGCGAAAGCCUGACGGAGCAACGCCGCGUGAGUGAUGAAGGUCUUCGGAUCGUAAAACUCUGUUAUUAGGGAAGAACAUAUGUGUAAGUAACUGUGAACAUCUUGACGGUACCUAAUCAGAAAGCCACGGCUAACUACGUG
rnacentral:rRNA from 1 species